AUGAACGCUGGCGGCGUGCCUCAUACAUGCAAGUCGAGCGAACAGACGAGGAGCUUGCUCCUCUGACGUUAGCGGCGGACGGGUGAGUAACACGUGGAUAACCUACCUAUAAGACUGGGAUAACUUCGGGAAACCGGAGCUAAUACCGGAUAAUAUAUUGAACCGCAUGGUUCAAUAGUGAAAGACGGUUUUGCUGUCACUUAUAGAUGGAUCCGCGCCGCAUUAGCUAGUUGGUAAGGUAACGGCUUACCAAGGCAACGAUGCGUAGCCGACCUGAGAGGGUGAUCGGCCACACUGGAACUGAGACACGGUCCAGACUCCUACGGGAGGCAGCAGUAGGGAAUCUUCCGUAAUGGGCGAAAGCCUGACGGAGCAACGCCGCGUGAGUGAUGAAGGUCUUCGGAUCGUAAAACUCUGUUAUUAGGGAAGAACAAAUGUGUAAGUAACUAUGCACGUCUUGACGGUACCUAAUCAGAAAGCCACGGCUAACUACGUG
rnacentral:rRNA from 1 species